rnacentral:misc_RNA from 1 species
AAUGCUGGGAAAAAGGAGGAAGAUCCUCUUAAGGACAUAAAGGAUCCAAAGCAAUUUUUAGUUGCUUCACUGGCUAAUCUUUCUGCUCAUUCCCCUGGAAAUUAUCCCCAGAUCAUUAGUGAAAACCUUGAGCCAGCAAAUCAAGCAGCAUUAUUGCAGCUUUGUACCACCUACAAUUGCCCAAUUGUCUGAAAUCUUGUAUGGGAAUUGAGGUCUGUUUUGUGGUCAAUUCAACAAGUAUUUUUCAACAGGCUAUAGCGAGCAGAUGGCAUCUUUUACUUUAUGGUUUGUGGGUUUAGGCAGUUCAUCAUCUGUUAUGCAACAUCCCAAGGUCCUAUGCAGUAACAAUAUGGAGUUUUACAGCGUCGUGGAGUUUUACAUUGCUUAAGAGUGGAUAAUUGAUCCACAAUGGGCUUUUAUUGGAUUUUGCUGUAACAAAUCACUGCCCUUGCUUUGGAGCGAAGAGCUUCUCAAUGUUCUGGUCAUUUGAGUCGUCAUGUUCAGUGUGUUAUCAUACCAUGAAUUGUUGUUGGGUGAUUGAGUUCAUGUAAAGAGGAGGAAAACGAGUUCCUGGAGGGAAUCGGUUCAUUUACUGUGUAGUUGAAUUUUGGUUUAUCUGUUGAAAGUUUUGGCAGUUAUUUGCAUGCUAUUGUAGUAGAUCUCAUCUUAGCAUUUGAAUUUUAGUGGAAGAUGAUAUUGAGAAAGAACUAUCAUAUGCUGCGGAAAGAGUUCUUACUUAAGAUCCCCCGAGAACCAAGUGUUUAGACGUGAUUGGCCUUUGCAUCAGAUGAAACACUAUAAUGUAAUUGCUAAAGCUUUACUUGAGUUUUGAG